rnacentral:lncRNA from 1 species
GUAAAUUAAACCUUUGGCUCCUAUUGUCGAUUAUGCUAUAGAUUGAAACUAGGCAUCAUGGUUUUGCUAUUGUCAUAAGAACUCCCAUCAUUGUCUCAUGUGAGAAAAUAAAUACAUAUGAACUGAUUUCUGUGCUUGUGACUUUGCUAAGUCCAUAACCUAUACUCAUCUAUACAUUAAAUAUUUCUACUUAAUCAUGCUUGUUGGAUGAAAUGCAAAUGGGAUUCGAAUGAAGGGAGCUUAGUAUAUACC